UUAAAAAUACCUUUGUGGCUAUGAAACAUCACUAAGAGUUGUCUUAAUGUCCUAAUUAAUGAGUGGGUCAGCUAUUAAUACCCAUCCAGAAAUGCAUAUGAUUGGUUUUUGGUGGAAUGAAAAAAUAAAAUAAAAACUGAACCAAAAAAGAAUGCUUUUGCUUCUGUAGUAAGCCAGGCCUCUGCUGCUUGUUGGUGCUAAUCCUGAUGAAGCAGGAUGCUCUAAGUCACCACUGCUCAAAUCAUGUCAUCACUGUCACCAGCCUGAGGUGCUUCAGUUCGCUCACGAUCCCUGUGGACCUCUGUCAGUUCUGCCUUCUUUAAAAAAAGCCUUGCUGUUUGUAGCCCUGGCUUCCCCCUGCAUUAAGCGUUAAGUAUUUUCACGUGAAGUGAAAUGUCGUGUUGCUGUCUUGUGUGUGUCUAGUUAAUAACCCAAGGCUCUUAAGACCCAGAGCAUUUCGAACGUUGUUAACAUGAGGUGGGUAUCAACUCAAGAAGGCAUGCACUGAUGCCUCCCAGUAGAGUUCUGCUCCAUCGUGUGUGUCCCGCUGGAUAUGUUAAUGACUGAUGCCACCAUUGUCCCUUGUCUUUGAGACUGGGUCUCAUGUAGCCCCGACUAGCCUUGAACCUGCUAUGUAACUGCGGAUGAUCUCUGGACUUUUGAUCCUCCUGCCUCCACUUCUCAAAGUGCUGGAAUUGCAGGCUUACACCAACAGUGCUGCCCAUUGAUCCCAGGGCUUCCUGGGCCCUCAGCAAGCACUCCACCCACCGAGAGAAAUUCAUGACCCACUGUUACCCAAAGAGUCAGGAAGCUAACUUUUAAGUAGUUACAUUUUGAAAUGCUGUGUGCAUGUCUGUAGGAGAUCUAUUAAAGCUAUGUAGUUCUGGAUUUUUAAAAUUGAUUGUCUAAACAUUCAGGAUGGGGUUUUAUGACAACUAUUUCCAGGCACCCGAUGUGCCUUUCGAGGGUGUAUAGCCAUCAACAAGAGUGAAAACAGACUUCUCAUUCAUACUGGUUUUCUGUCUAGCUUGCCUCCUCAACACACUCAUAUUGGGUAGCAAAUUCCUGAUCAGCAGCCACCCCAGCAGUGUGGGUACUACAGAAGUUCUGGGCGCUGCCUAAGGGAAGAGAGAAAAGAGCGCGGAGUUUGGAAUCAGACAAGCAUGGGUUAGAAUCUCAGCCCUGUGGUCCCCAGUUUCCCAGAGCGUAUAGCAGGAUCCAUUAUGUUGCGUUCCUAACUUGAAACCUUAGUUAGAUGAUGCAUGUAAUGAUACCUAACCUAUCAGAGAUGCUCGAUAAAUCUUCCAGUUUUGGGAUACCGGAGCUGGUGGACCCCAUGACUCCUGAAGACUUCCCCACAUUUGACACAGCAGUGUGUGGUUCUUUUCCUGAAACCUGUCAGUGCUACACUGUAGCAGUUAAGGGGCUGGACAUGUGGCUCAGUUGGUAAAGUGCCUGUGUAGCAUGCAGAAAACCCUGAGUUCAGCCCACAACUCCCUGUAUUUUGUAAAGUAUACACAAUUAGUCAUGCCUCUAAUACCAGCACUUGGGAGAUAGACGCGGGAGGAUCAGAAGUUAAAAGUCAUCUUUAGCUAUGUGGCAAAUUCAAGAACAGCCCGGGCUAUUCGAGACCCCGCAUCACACAAACUGCAGCAGCUACUGUAAACACUAGCACCCCAGGUCUCUCCAAAUGCCACCCACUAACACACAGUGAUUCGUGACCAUUCACUGGUUCUGCAGCGUGCACAUGCCAGCAGUUAGCUCAUUAAAACUUCCUCAGAGCACUAACAACAACCCCUCUUCCUGACAGGGAGGGGGCUUUGAGGCGACCCUGUCAUGAACCAGCAUGUUCCAGUCACACCCAGGGAUGGCUCUUUUGAACAUUUCCAGCCUUUCUCCCUCUUAGGUGUUCCCUGCAAGCUGAAAGGAAUUAUAAUUUUCCCCAGAUGCAGCCAAGUAGG
rnacentral:lncRNA from 1 species